AUGGCACCAAAAGUGAAAAAAGUUCUUGCCCCUCCCAAAGCUGAAGCCAAAGCGAAUGCUUUGAAGGCCAGGAAGGCAGUGCUUAAAGGUGUCCACAGCCACAAAAAGAAGAUCCAAUCCACACAUCACCCACCUGCCAGUGGCCCAAGACAGUGUGGCUCUGCAGGCAGCAGAAAUAUGCUUGGAAGAGCACUCCCAGGAGAAACAAGCUUGACCAAUAAUUCAUCAUCAGGUUCCCCCAACCACUGAGUCAGCCAUGAAGAAGAUAGAAGACAACAACACAACUUGUGUCCAUUGUGGAUGUCAAAGCCAACAAGCACCAGAUCAAACAGGCUGUGAAGAAGCUCAGUGACACUGCUGUGGCCAAAGCCAACACCCUGAUCAGGCCUGAUGGAGAGAAGAAGGCAUAU
rnacentral:lncRNA from 1 species